AAGCCUAAUAAAGGUAAACUAAAAUCUUCAAAAACACACAAGUAAAUGAUGGUUUCUAAUACGCACCACAUAAACAUUAUUCGCUUGACUUGCCAGUUUUGAACGUGGAAAUAUAUGGUUUAGAGGGGACUUGGAAAUAUAUUGAAAGUUUGAAUGAUGGGUUAAUGCAUCAGUUUGUUUUCCCUUACCGAUGAUCCAUCGACUCAUUCAAACUCUCUCUCUCUCUCUCUCUCUAAUUUGCUGAGCGCUAUUAUAAAUUUGUCUGUCGUUAAUUUCACGUCUCAUAGAUUAGGCUCUCUUGAAGUCAAUUGGAUAGAGCGAGAAUACUGAACUCUAAAAAAAACUCUCUAUCUCUCUCAAACACAAUAUUUUAGCUUAUGUGAAAUUACAUAGGAAUCUAUUUUACAAUAGGCUAGUGAUUUUACACUCUUAUUUUCUCUAGUUAAACUCCUUUCUCUGUCUGUAUUUGAGUGAAUUUACCCAAAUAUCUUUCCACGUAAUGAAAACAUUCGAAUAUAUGAAGGUAUUUGAGUAAAUUCAACUUAAUAAAGAUAAAAAAUAGAGCAUGCGCAAUUAAAAAAAAAAAGAAGCAUGAAAAUCAUUAGUCUUUACAAUAUUCAAUUUCUCUCUUUCACGAACAAUUUUCUGUAAUCUCUUUCACAUGCACAAUAUUCUAUCUUCAUUAGUCUUUACAAUAUUCAAUUUCUCUCUUUCACAAACAAUUUUAUGUAAUCGCUUUCACACGCACAAUAUUUUAUCUUCUAUUAAAUUAACAAUGAGUCUAUUUUAAAUAAAAUUAUCAAUUUUUUAUCUCGUAAUAGUUGACAUGGCUAAUAUGAAGAGAUCAGAUUAUAUACGCAUGCAGAGUAAACCACUACUCCAAUCAUUUUACUGACAUAUCAGAAUUUGUUGCGAACUCUUUGAUUCACCUACUUAACUCAUACUCUUUCCUUGGACACUAUCUUUAAACUAAAUUUUUUUUUCUCCUCAAAGUUAUUUAAUUUUCUUAUAAAAAUAAUAGUUAUGUAUAAUUGUAUUGUUGUUGAUAGAGAAUGGGAAUGGUCCAAACAAACAGGUGGGUGGAAGCUCAUUUCCUUCAUUCCCGUGUAGGUCCUGUGAAGGCCCUUUAACGUGUUCACAUGAACUUGUCCAUCUUUCACUUCCCAAAGCCUAACCUUGCUCCAAUUAACACCUGCCACGGUGCCCCGAUCCCUGCCCAACUUUUUUGGAGGACCAAGAAAAAAUCUUGAAAGAGACAUUUUCAUAUGUGAUAUUAAUUUUUUAAAUAUUAUUUUAUUUUUAAUAUUUUAUUUAUUUAUUUUGUUUUUUCUUUGUGAUCCAAAAUUAUUAAUUAAGUUGUUGUAAUUCAUCCUUUUUAACAUAUCAUUUUCAAUUGAUAAUUCGGCUGAUUCACUAAUAUUGAUGAAACAAUACAAAUUUUGUGACCCAACUAGACCUACUUUUUUAAAGUCUAUUGAUGAAACACCACAAAUUUUCUCUCUCUCCUCUCUCUCUCUCUCCACCUCCUCUCUUCUCUCUCUUUCUAACCAUCAUUGGCCACCCGCUAAUCUCUUUCAACCCCUAACUAUCACCCACCAUCUCUAUCAACUAAUAUAUAUAUAUACUAGUAUUGCCCGUGCCCACGGCACUAGUAAUAACAAAAAAUAAGAUAUCUUUCAUUAUUGUGAUUAUUCUUCGUCGCAAAAGAAUAAAUAAAAAAUAUUCAUAUCACAAUAAAGAUAGCGCUCACAUACUUUUUCAGAAAACUAAAUACUCUAAUCUAAAAUUGACAUCAACAGAGCUGUUUUUGUUCUACUCCUAUAAUUCCAUCCACCCCCCCUCGAUGUGAACUUUUUUUUUGACUUCACUUUUAAUCCUCAAUUUUUUUCUCAAUUAUAAUUUGUUGCCAUUCAACCUUUUUUUUCGUUUUUUUAUACUCUUUAUUCUUUUUUAUAAACCCUUGAUUCUUUGUUUAUUUCUUUUUUAACUUUCACUUUUAAAUUUUUAUCUAAGAAAAAUUAUGAUAAAAUUUUUAUAUUUUUUUUCCACUUCCUACUUAUGUGUUUUUUAAUUACAAAAAUAUAAAUCAAAAUUUUUAUAUUUGUUUAAAAAUUUCGAAUUGGGUUUAUAGUUUAUAUUUAAUUUGUUAUUUGAGACUAUUCGUUGAAAAUAAUUAAUGUAUUUUUUAGUAGUUUGAUUUAUCAUAAAAUACAUACAUAAAUAAAUUUUUAACGUAUCAAUACAUAUUAAAUUCAACAUUACAUAAGAACAUAACUUGAACCAAUAUCUCCUUCCAAAAAAAUUAUAUAUAUUUUUUUGUAAGUCCUUUUUAUAUAAAAAUUUAAAAGUGAAAGUAAAAAAAAAAAGACUCAGGCGUACUACAAAAAAACCCCAAUAACACAGAUAUAUAACUAUCAACCCACGAAAUUUAAAAAAAAAUAAUUAAAAAAAAAUUAAAAAUCUUGAUUCAUAUUUUUUUUUAUAAAACAUAAGUCGGAGUAAAAGAAAUAUAAAAUUUUUAAUCAUAAUCUUUUUAAUAUACAAAAUUCCGAAGUGAACGUAAAAAAAAGAAUUAAGGGGCAUUAAAAGAAAAAAACAUACGGGGUUUAUAAAUUUUAUUAAAAAUUAUAUAAAAAUUCAAGUAAAAAAGAAUAAAGGGGUCUUACACCACCAGUAUACCAGGGUUACUGUCCGAGUGCUGAGAGUCGAUCGAGUGAGAGUUAAUAUGGAGAGAAACAUCCACCGUGAUACGUGAGAGAGAGUGAAAAGUGAUAUGUUUUAGUAGAACAAGAAAUAAUUUGACUAAUUGACUACCUUUAUUUUUAUUUUAAGUUAAUUUUUUUUUCUGCUUUAUUUUUAAAUUUUAUGUCUUUAGUGAUUUUUGACAAUUAAUCAAUAUUUUAUACCUUUUCGCUUUCUCUUAAUCAAAAAGGAAUAUAAAAAAUAUAAAAAAUUAACGGAAUUAUGAGAAGUUCAAUAAAAAAAAAUCAAUAAUUUAUUUUAUAUUCAAAUUAAAUUUUUUUAUAUUUAGGCUCUUAUGUCAAAAUAAUUAAAAAUCUAAAUUUUUGAUUAAAUAAUAAAUAAAAAAUUAAAAAUGUGAGAAAAAAAGGUGUGUAGGUCCACUAAAGAGAGUGAGAGUUAUGAUGGAGAGAGAAAGUGAGAGUGAUGGGAGGAUAGAGAGAGUGAAAGAAAAUGAUGUUUUUGGGCGGAGAAAAAAAAUAGGAGUGCAAUCUUAGGUUGGAUCAAUUCAAUGAAUUUGAGCCGUAGAUAGGAGAGAUAGAUUUUAAUCAAGCUAAGUCCUGAUUUAUAAUAUAGAUUAUAUGCACACACAACACACAGCACACAUGCACACAAAUAGAUAUACACACACCCAGCAAAAUAUACACAAACAUAUAUGCUCAAAACACAACACACAUGCACACAAAUAGAUAUACACGUAUUAUACAUUAUACAUAUAUAUAUAUAUAUAUAUAUAUAUAUAUAGAGAGAGGAGAGAGAGAGAGAGAGAGGGAUUUGGGGGCUGAUUUUUUUUUUCUUUUAUCAAUGAUUUAGAAUUUUGAUCAAUUGUUACUUUUAGGUUUGAUUUGGAGAUUGAUCUGGUUUUUGAUUUUGGGUUUGAUUUGGAAACUGGGUUAGAUUUGAUUUGGGAUUUGAUUUGGGUUGUUGAUUUAGAGAUUGCUUGGAAGUGAGUUUGAUUUUUUGCUUUGAUUUGGAGUGUUAGUUUGUUAACAUGUACAUAUGUGUGUUUGUGAUUGUAGAUGGAGAGAGACAGAGAGAGAGAGGGGUGGAGGAUUGUGUUAAUAGUGGAUGAGAGAGUGAGGGAGAGAGGAAGAGCAAACAUGUAAAGUACGAACGCAACAUAAUGGUAGACCAAACAGAGCCAACCUCUUCAGUUGAUACCAUAACCAGUUUCUAUCAUUCACCCAAUGUCCCUGUAUAUUAGGGUUUUCGAAAUUUGAAAAAAAAAAAAAACUUAAAGGAUAUAUUAUAGACCAUAAAUGUCCACAAUGCAGAAAUAAAAAAAUAAAAUCCAAAUUUACUAACCAUGAUAGAAACACAACUUCAGAAACCUUAAUUAGGGUUUUCCCAAAAUCAAACUAUACCACAAUCAAAACCCUAUACUGGCCUGAAUAUAGUCGCGCAGUAUCCUUGAAUAUACGUUGGGACUCGCCGUCUAAGCACUGUGGUUCAAUUUCGGAGUAGAGCUCGGUAACUCAAGCACGAUCGUCGAAGAUGAGUAUUGAUUCUUAACAUUGCACCAGAGAUUUGCACAAGUAAAGCGUGAGACAUGGUUAAGGGUUCGCUACGCCUCCCCUCUCUCUCUCUCUCUCUGUGAAUGGGGACGACACCAUAGCGGAUUCUUGAAUCUAAAGUCAAGACUCCGUUUGGAAACCAACUUUUUUUAGUUUUUUGGUUGAUUGUUUAUUUAAAAUAGAGUAAGAAAAUUAGUCAGAAUUGAUUUUUUUGAUUUUUAAUUUUUGUUUAUUUAUUUAUUUUUAUUUAAAGUAAAGUCAAAAAAAUAAAAAAAUUAAAAUAUUUUAUUUUUUUGAUAAUAAACUUAAAAAAACACUUGAAUUUUAAGCAUUGCGAAACGGAGCCUCAAUCCCCGUACCAGUGUCUACCCAGCGGGACUGUUUGGUCAGUGGAAUUGGAAAAUUUGGAAAAAAACUGAGAGCAAUGAAAGUUAAACUAGCUAUUCAAAAUGUAUAUUUUUUACUUUAACUAGCCACUUUGCUCUAACAAUACUCUCUAGUUCUUUCUCUAUUUCUUUAUAAUAUUACUCACUCAUCUUAUAUUGCUAUUUCUUUUGGGAAAUACAAAUUUUUAAGGAAAUAUAAUCAUUGCGUGAUUCUAUUUAGACACAAAAGUUUCUCUAUAGCCUCAUUUUUAAAUUUCACUUGACAUCCCUUAAUGUGUUUAACAAAUAAAUACAGCCAACACUGACUUUCCUAUUUUUUGAAAAUUAUUAUUAAGAUUCUCUUUACACCUAAUUUAUUGAC
rnacentral:lncRNA from 1 species